GUGCCAGCAGCCGCGGUAAUUCCAGCUCCAAUAGCGUAUAUUAAAGUUGUUGCAGUUAAAAAGCUCGUAGUUGGAUCUCGGGUCCAGGCUUGUGGUCCGGCGCUGGCCGGUUACUACUCGUCCUGACCUACCUCCCGGUUUGCCCUUGGUGCUCUUGACUGAGUGUCUCGGGUGGCCGGAACGUUUACUUUGAAAAAAUUAGAGUGUUCAAAGCAGGCAAUUCGCCUGAAUAAUGGUGCAUGGAAUAAUGGAAUAGGACCUCGGUUCUAUUUUGCUGGUUUUCGGAGCUUGAGGUAAUGAUUGAGAGGGACUGACGGGGGCAUUCGUAUUACGGUGUUAGAGGUGAAAUUCUUGGAUCGCCGUAAGACGAACUACUGCGAAAGCAUUUGCCAAGAAUGUUUUCAUUAGUCAAGAACGAAAGUCAGAGGUUCGAAGAC
rnacentral:rRNA from 1 species